GUAGGUGGCAAGCGUUGUCCGGAAUUAUUGGGCGUAAAGCGCGCGCAGGCGGUCCUUUAAGUCUGAUGUGAAAGCCCACGGCUCAACCGUGGAGGGUCAUUGGAAACUGGGGGACUUGAGUACAGAAGAGGAAAGCGGAAUUCCAAGUGUAGCGGUGAAAUGCGUAGAGAUUUGGAGGAACACCAGUGGCGAAGGCGGCUCUCUGGUCUGUAACUGACGCUGAGGCGCGAAAGCGUGGGGAGCAAACAGGGAUUAGAUACCCUGGUAGUCCACGCCGUAAACGAUGAGUGCUAAGUGUUAGGGGGUUUCCCGCCCCCUUAGUGCUGCAGCUAACGCAUUAAGCACUCCGCCUGGGGAGUACGGCCGCAAGGCUG
rnacentral:rRNA from 1 species